UGGAAGUAAAGUGUAACAAGGUUUCCGUAGUGAACCUGCGGAAGAUCAUUAAUAAAUUCUUUAGGUUGAAAUACGAACUAAAAAUAUAAUAAUCUACCCUUUGUGAAUUGUUGUUUGAAAUAAUUUUUAAAAAAAUUAUUUAUAGUUUGUCUUCCUGAGUUGUAGAGAAGUAAAUUCUUUGAAAGUUAGGGAUAGCUUAUCUAUAAUAUGAUUUUAAAGACCUUUUUUAAAUUAAACUUUUUGUAUUCAUUUGUCUAAUUUAUUUUUAAUAAUUUAAAACAACUUUUGACAAUGGAUCUCUUGUUUCGCAACGAUGAAGAACGCAGCAAAUGCAUAAGUAAUGUGAAUUGCAGAAUACGUGAAUCAUCAAUCUUCGACGCAUAUUGCACUUUUUAGUUUACUAAAAAGUAUGUCUGUUUGAUAUCAGUAAAAUAUUCUCAUAAAAAUUUAUUUUUAUGGUUUUGAGUGUUUUACAACGAUACAAGUUGUUUCACUUAAUUGACUUUAAAUUGCUAUUAAUUAGUCAAUUUUUAAAAUGCAUAAAAUUUUCCCGCAAAAAGGAAUACUAUCAUUUAAAAUUAACUGAUAUUAAAAGCCUUGAUAAAGAAUUUAAUUAAAUAACUGAUCUCAAAUCAGAUAAGAGUACCCGCUGAACUUAAGCAUAUCAUAAGCGAGGAAAAGAAACUAACAAGGAUUCCCUAGUAACGGCGAUGAGCGGGAAGAGCUCAAAUUUGAAAUCUUCAAGUUGACCUUGACGAAUUGUAGUUUAAAGAAGUGUUUUCGGUUAGAGAUGUAAAAGUUCUUGGAAUAGGACAUCAUAGAGGUGAGAAUCCGUAUUUACCAUUCUUCUAGCUUUGUGAUACACUUUCAAGAGUCGAUUGUUUGGAAGCAGUCAAAAUGGUGUAAUUUCAUCUAAAGCUAAUAUGCGAGAGACGAUAGCGAACAAGUACGUGAGGAAGAUGAAAGACUUUGAAAGAGAGUUAAACAGUAGUAAAUUGUCAAAAGGAAGCGUUUGACACCAGUGUUGUUUUCGAAAAUCAAUUAAAAAUGGAUUCAUGCAAUUGUAUUGACUUUAGCUUGCAAUUUUGUUUUGGUUCUUUUUGAUGCACUUUCGGUUAACAAGUCAACAUCAAUUUCCUUGCGUACAAGGGCAAAGGAAGGUGCUUCAAUUCGGUGAAGUGUUAUAGCCUUGUCCUGCAGUCGGGGAGAUUGAGGUUGCAGCGUAGAUCCUUCGGGUAGAAAUUCGUGCUAAGUAUAGCUUUAUAGACAAC
rnacentral:misc_RNA from 1 species